GAUGAAGAACCGUAGCGAAAUGCGAUACUUGGUGUGAAUUGCAGAAUCCCGUGAACCAUCAAGUCUUUGAACGCAAGUUGCGCCCGAAGCCAUUAGGCCGAGGGCACGCCUGCCUGGGCGUCACACGUCGUUGCCCCCCCAUCUAAUCCUUCGGGAUUGCGGGGGGCGGAUGAUGGCCUCCCGUGCGCCUCGUCGCGCGGUUGGCAUAAAUGCCAAGUCCUCGGCGACGCACGCCACGACAAUCGGUGGUUGCGAAACCUCGGUUGCCCGUUGUGUGCGGUCGUCGCGCAUCGAGGGCUCGAAAAAAUUGCCGGGCUCCGGCUCGACUUUCAACGCGACCCCAGGUCAGGCGGGGUUACCCGCUGAAUUUAAGCAUAUCAAUAAGCGGAGGA
rnacentral:misc_RNA from 1 species